rnacentral:rRNA from 1 species
AACGAACGCUGGCGGCAGGCCUAACACAUGCAAGUCGAGCGCCCUUUCGGGGGAGCGGCGGACGGGUGAGUAACGCGUGGGAAUAUGCCCUUCUCUACGGAAUAGCCUCGGGAAACUGAGAGUAAUACCGUAUACGCCCUUUGGGGGAAAGAUUUAUCGGGGAAGGAUUAGCCCGCGUUGGAUUAGGUAGUUGGUGGGGUAAUGGCCUACCAAGCCGACGAUCCAUAGCUGGUUUGAGAGGAUGAUCAGCCACACUGGGACUGAGACACGGCCCAGACUCCUACGGGAGGCAGCAGUGGGGAAUCUUAGACAAUGGGGGCAACCCUGAUCUAGCCAUGCCGCGUGAGUGAUGAAGGCCUUAGGGUUGUAAAGCUCUUUCAGCUGGGAAGAUAAUGACGGUGCCAGCAGAAGAAGCCCCGGCUAACUCCGUG